rnacentral:rRNA from 1 species
UUUACCUACGGGACGCAGCAGUGAGGAAUAUUGGUCAAUGGCCGAGAGGCUGAACCAGCCAAGUCGCGUGAGGGAUGACGGCCCUACGGGUUGUAAACCUCUUUUGUCGGGGAGCAAAGAGGCCACGUGUGGUCAAAAGCGAGAGUACCCGAAGAAAAAGCAUCGGCUAACUCCGUGCCAGCAGCCGCGGUAAUACGGAGGAUGCGAGCGUUAUCCGGAUUUAUUGGGUUUAAAGGGUGCGUAGGCGGGACGGUAAGUCAGCGGUAAAAAUGCGGAGCUCAACUCCGUCGAGCCGUUGAAACUGC